GGUGGCUCAGUGGUAGAGCACUUGCCUUGCAUGCCAGCGGUCCUGGGUUCGAUUCCUCAGUACCA
rfam:Dipodomys ordii contig_46206, whole genome shotgun sequence.